CGUGCGUGGUCGUGGUUGGUCUGCCGACGAGGAUGCGGCGGGGGCGCAGGACGAGCGUGCAGCAGGGGUGGCUGUCGGAGGCCGUCAGUGGAGCGCGGCCCCGUAACUCCACACAUGGCAUGGGCGGAACAAAUCCGGGAGGCGGCGACCACGGAGCGCCUCCCGCGGUGCGCGGGCGGUAGGAAGCUCCCCAUCGAGAGGGUAAGAUGACGAUGAAGGGGGAGCUCACGCGAGUCGCCAGGAGGACGUGCGCAUCCGCCGCCGGAUUCACACGCAGCAGGGGCGGCAUGGCACCAACUAGGAUGCCAUGGUCGUUUGGGAGUGAUGAGGGAAUCUUCUGUUCUGCUCAGUGAUCUGGUAUUUGCUUCAUCUAUGCAGAGUCAGCUCUCCUACAUCCCUUACAGGUUAGCAUUCCUGAUUUGUUUACCCGUGCUUUGAGAUAGAAUGCAUAGCGGAUCUCCUGUUUGUGUACUUGAUUUGUGUACCUGUGAUUUUUAGAUUUUACUCAUGUAUGUACUGAUAAUUCUUUCAAAGUUGAUGCGGAGAUUGUUUCUAGAUGAAAUGUUAGGACAUAUGAAAAUGCAUGGUCUAGAUCUAUUUGUAGUACUUCUGCAGUACCGGGAUUAUAAGUUGAGCAGUGCUCUUUUUGCUUACUCAUUUGGCUGAAUAUUUGUUAAACCACCAGAUAGGACGGCUGUUUCCUCUGAUCAGGUUGAAGUCGUGUGCAUCUCUAUCUCUCUCUUGUGCAGGGUUUCCUUAUUAACUCUCAAUCAAGACUUACAUACUUUCUGCCCCAAAUGCAUUUGUAGAAACUCUUGAAAUCAAACAUGAAAACUGGUGCAGACAAAGAUUUUUCUACGUCAACAUUGACCUGGUAUAUUUCCACUUGAUUCAGUUUGCAGCAAUUGGUUUGCAGCUAGCCCUCUGAAUAAGCUCUCCAUAGUAUGUAUUUCAGAACUUCAGUGAAUGUUGGAAGUGUAAAGAUAUUGUUUUCGAGCUCCUCUUGCUUCAAACGGUUUACCUCCCAUCUAAUCAAGUAUGAAAAUCAAUAAAUCUGCUGCUAUUUUCCAAUGCUUUAGGACUGCCUGGUAUAAAAGAAAAACUAGAAAAAAGAAACUGUAUAGGACGAAUGGAUACUGCUACCUUGACAGUUGGCGAACCAUUUUGCUUUCCUUUGCAAUACAUGGGGACUAUAAUUGUGGUGUGGGAUUCUUAAUCUAAACCAACCAGCCUCCGAGGCAAUUAGAUGUAGUUAAAUGGUUCUUUUUUCCAUGCACUAUAUGUAGAUGAAUAAUUGUAUGGGCUUUAAUCACAUUGGAUUUAUGGAGAGAAACAAUAUCAAUUCGAGGUGUUAUAAAUAUGCUCCGAGAAAUUGUCCCCUAGAAAAUCUCUUAUAUUAGUGUUUCCUUUUUUCAUGACGAAAAAUUUCAGUGCUCAACUUUAUGGUGAAAUUGACUUGCAUUAUCUUUAGUACAAGUCUAAUUAACACUGUACCAGAGUGGGGCACAUUUUGUAUCCAUUUAUAUAUGUAUAUCCGUUUGGAAACAAUUGGUUAUUUUUAUCAUCAAUGGAUCAUAGGUGACUCAAAAUCUCAUGGUAUACAUGGUUACGUAGCUACGGCUGGUUUGUUCCGGUGGAUUCAGAGUCCCAAUCAUCGGCGGCGUUCGGGGCAAGCUUCAUGGUCAGCGUGAGCAGAAGGCAUGUUGCUGAUUGAUGCCAUGGCCAAUCUGCGUGCCUUCGUUGGCAGACUGAAUUCGUUCAGCGUGGAUGACCUGAUCCACAGCUGGGAUUAAAUCCUUUUCUAUAUGGUUCUAUCUUGAAAUAAUAUAAGCAUUUGUUCCACUUGCAAGAAAUAGUGAGUAAUUUAACCUGGCACGGUUGAUAUGGAUAUCCGUUAAGUUGUUGAAGUGACUAAGCUAUCCUUGGUUAGUAAAUCACAAGUAGUAAGUUUGUCAUCAAAAUAAAUGUAUACAAUUUAUUGGGUUUGUGUUCUGUUCAGCUGCAGCACUGAUAAGAAGUUGGUGCCUGGUUUACAUCGCUGUCCUAAUGAGAAGCAGUAGUUUUGAGGUGAACUAUCUUCUCAUAAAUUCAUCAGCCCAUUCUAUUGUCGUCUUUGAGGUGGGAUAUUUUUUAUUUCAAAGGUCUUUACAAGGGGCAUUCUGCGGACAUGGUUUUUACCUUUUCUGGAUGGAAAUGUCUUAGCUGCUUGGUUUUCGUUGGAAGAAGAUUUUGUCCAUUGCGUAUGGUCGUCAUCCUUGGGUUUGGAUCCCUGUUUCGUUGGCCCAUUCUUCUGGUCGGCAUCAUUCUAUUCCGCAUCCUUCUGCACCAUCGUUCUUCGUUAGUUUUCAUCCCACUGCUCCCUUCAGUUUUGCUACAUGAUAGCUGUUUCAGAAAGCUGAGUUUUGAAAACUGAGUUGAUGCAUUGGUUCUUGCUUAUCCACAUCAUCUAGACUCCAUGGCAGCAACAAUACUGCUGUAUCAUCUGAACUUUUGUUUACCAGUUGUUCCUACAUCAUAGUAUCUUCA